AGCUUUGCACAGUGGUAGUAUCGUAACCCAUGAGGUUUAUCUGAGGUGUGAUUAUUGCUAAUUAAAAACUUCCCCACAAUAAUAACAGUGUAAAAUGUGGGAUGAGUAAAUGAGAAAUGUGCCUAACAUUACU
ensembl:snRNA U4 U4 spliceosomal RNA